rnacentral:rRNA from 1 species
AUUGAACGCUGGCGGCAUGCCUAACACAUGCAAGUCGAACGAGUAGCGGACUGGUGAGUCAUGUCUGGGAAACUGCCCGAUGGAGGGGUCUAACUACUGGAAACGGUGGCUACUACCGCUUACAGUCUGAUGUGCCCCGGUGGGAUUAGCUAGUGGGUGGGGUAACGGCUCCCCUAGGCGACGAUCCCUAGCUGGUCGGCGAGGCUGACCGGCCACACUGGAACUGAGACACGGUCCAGACUCCUACGGGAGGCAGAAGUGGGGAAUAUUGCACAAUGGGCGCAAGCCUGAUGCAGCAAGGCCGCGUGUAUGAAGAAGGCCUUCGGGUUGUAAAGUUCUUUCAGCGAGGAGGCGUUACUCGCAGAAGAAGCACCGGCUAACUCCGUGCCAGCAGCCGCGGUAAUAC